UACAGAGGGUGCGAGCGUUGUCCGGAAUCACUGGGCGUAAAGGGCGCGUAGGUGGCGACCCAAGUCUGUGGUGAAAGCUCGACGCUCAACGUCGAGUCGGCCAUAGAUACUGGGUUGCUCGAGCACUGUAGAGGCAGAUGGAAUUCCGGGUGUAGCGGUGGAAUGCGUAGAGAUCCGGAAGAACACCGGAGGCGAAGGCGGUCUGCUGGGCAGUUGCUGACACUGAGGCGCGACAGCGUGGGGAGCAAACAGG
rnacentral:rRNA from 1 species